CUGAUUUGCUUGACGAAGUGGCGGACGGGUGAGUAAUGUCUGGGAAACUGCCUGAUGGAGGGGGAUAACUACUGGAAACGGUAGCUAAUACCGCAUAACGUCGCAAGACCAAAGAGGGGGACCUUCGGGCCUCUUGCCAUCGGAUGUGCCCAGAUGGGAUUAGCUAGUAGGUGGGGUAACGGCUCACCUAGGCGACGAUCCCUAGCUGGUCUGAGAGGAUGACCAGCCACACUGGAACUGAGACACGGUCCAGACUCCUACGGGAGGCAGCAGUGGGGAAUAUUGCACAAUGGGCGCAAGCCUGAUGCAGCCAUGCCGCGUGUAUGAAGAAGGCCUUCGGGUUGUAAAGUACUUUCAGCGGGGAGGAAGGGAGUAAA
rnacentral:rRNA from 1 species